ACUAUUUUAUAGUAAAAAUUAUUAAUUAAUUUAAUUAAUUAAUAAAAAUUUAUCCUAUACUAGGAUCUAAAUAUGAUAUAUAGCAUGCAUGCAUUUAAAUUUGAAAUUUAAAUUUGAACAGUAAACACUUUACUGUAAUGUGUUCAAAACACAAUACCUUUGUGCGGAUAGUAGAUCACCACAAUUUGAUCACCGUCGGG
rnacentral:lncRNA from 1 species